GAUAUGGCUCAGGAUGAACGCUGGCGGCGUGCCUAAUACAUGCAAGUCGAACGCGAGCAGCAAUGCUCGAGUGGCGAACGGGUGAGUAAUACAUAAGUAACCUGCCCUAGACAGUGGGAUAACUGCUGGAAACGGCAGCUAAGACCGCAUAGGUAUGGACACUGCAUGGUGACCAUAUUAAAAGUGCCAAGGCACUGGUAGAGGAUGGACUUAUGGCG
rnacentral:rRNA from 1 species